rnacentral:rRNA from 1 species
GGUGCCAUGAGCGCGCCUGACGGAGCACGCCGCGUGAGGGAUGAGGGCCUCUGGGCUGUAAACCUCUUUUAUCAAGGAAGAAGAUCUGACGGUACUUGAUGAAUAAGCCACGGCUAAUUCCGUGCCAGCAGCCGCGGUAAUACGGGAGUGGCAAGCGUUAUCCGGAAUUAUUGGGCGUAAAGCGUCCGCAGGCGGCCCUUCAAGUCUGCUGUUAAAAAGUGGAGCUUAACUCCAUCAUGGCAGUGGAAACUGUUGGGCUUGAGUGUGGUAGGGGCAGAGGGAAUUCCCGGUGUAGCGGUGAAAUGCGUAGAUAUCGGGAAGAACACCAGUGGCGAAGGCGCUCUGCUGGGCCAUCACUGACGCUCAUGGACGAAAGCCAGGGGAGCGAAAGGGAUUAGAUACCCCUGUAGUCCUGGCCGUAAACGAUGAACACUAGGUGUCGGGGGAAUCGACCCCCUCGGUGUCGUAGCCAACGCGUUAAGUGUUCCGCCUGGGGAGUACGCACGCAAGUGUGAAACUCAAAAAA